UACGUAGGGGGCAAGCGUUAUCCGGAUUUACUGGGUGUAAAGGGAGCGUAGACGGUAAUGUAAGUCUGAUGUGAAAGCCCGGGGCUCAACCCCGGGACUGCAUUGGAAACUAUGUAACUAGAGUACCGGAGAGGUAAGCGGAAUUCCUAGUGUAGCGGUGAAAUGCGUAGAUAUUAGGAGGAACACCAGUGGCGAAGGCGGCCUACUGGACGGUGACUGACGCUGAGGCUCGAAAGCGUGGGGAGCAAACAGG
rnacentral:rRNA from 1 species